rnacentral:lncRNA from 1 species
GAAAAACUAAAUUUAUUUCAUAUUAUACGUUUGUGACAAAAAUACCAUUACAUAAACAAUAACACAAACAAUUAAAACACUAGAAUACAAGAAUUAUGCGAUUACAACCAUCAAAACAAUUUUGAACAUGUAAUGCAUCAUUCUACGAACGUCUUAGUCAGUCUUAAUUUCCACUCAUUCACGCACUUCUCCAUUUUGUUGAACAUGGACACAAGUCAUUGUAUU